rnacentral:rRNA from 1 species
UACAGAGGGUGCGAGCGUUAAUCGGAAUGACUGGGCGUAAAGGGCAUGUAGGCGGUUAUGUUAGUCUGAUGUGAAAUCUUGGAGCUUAACUCCGAAACUGCAUUCGAUACUGCCGUGCUUGAGGACUGGAGAGGAGACUGGAAUUUACGGUGUAGCGGUGAAAUGCGUAGAUAUCGUAAGGAAGACCAGUGGCGAAGGCGGGUCUCUGGACAGUUCCUGACGCUGAGGCACGAAGGCCAGGGGAGCAAACGGG